GACGAACGCUGGCGGCGUGCUUAACACAUGCAAGUCGAACGCUGAAGCUUGGUGCUUGCCCUGGGUGGAUGAGUGGCGAACGGGUGAGUAAUACGUGAGUAACCUGCCCUUGACUCUGGGAUAAGCCUGGGAAACUGGGUCUAAUACUGGAUAUGACAUGCCACUGCAUGGUGGUGUGUGGAAAGGGUUUUACUGGUUUUGGAUGGGCUCAUGGCCUAUCAGCUUGUUGGUGGGGUAAUGGCCUACCAAGGCGACGACGGGUAGCCGGCCUGAGAGGGUGACCGGCCACACUGGGACUGAGACACGGCCCAGACUCCUACGGGAGGCAGCAGUGGGGAAUAUUGCACAAUGGGCGGAAGCCUGAUGCAGCGACGCCGCGUGAGGGAGGACGGCCUUCGGGUUGUAAACCGCUUUCAGCACGGAAGAAGCGAGAGUGACGGUACGUGCAGAAGAAGCGCCGGCUAACUACGG
rnacentral:rRNA from 1 species